UACGUAGGGUGCAAGCGUUGUCCGGAAUUACUGGGCGUAAAGCGCGUGUAGGCUGCUUCGCAAGUCGGAUGUGAAAGCCCUGGGCUCAACCCAGGAAGUGCAUUCGAAACUGCAGAGCUGGAGUCCUGGAGAGGAAGGCGGAAUUCUCGGUGUAGAGGUGAAAUUCGUAGAUAUCGAGAGGAACACCGGUGGCGAAGGCGGCCUUCUGGACAGUGACUGACGCUGAGGCGCGAAAGCUAGGGGAGCAAACAGG
rnacentral:rRNA from 1 species